GUCUACGACCAUGCCACCCUGAACAAGCCCGAUCUCAUCUGAUUUCAAAAGCUAAGCAGGGUCAGGCCUGGUUAGUACUUGGAUGAGAGACCACCUAGGAAUACCAGGUAAUGUAGGCA
ensembl:rRNA 5S_rRNA 5S ribosomal RNA